UACAGAGGUGGCAGGCGUUGUUCGGAAUUACUGGGCGUAAAGGGCGCGUAGGCGGCCUUCUAAGUCAGACGUGAAAUCCCCCGGCUUAACCUGGGAACUGCGUCUGAUACUGGAAGGCUUGAGUGCGGGAGAGGGAUGUGGAAUUCCAGGUGUAGCGGUGAAAUGCGUAGAUAUCUGGAGGAACACCGGUGGCGAAGGCGGCAUCCUGGACCGACACUGACGCUGAGGCGCGAAAGCUAGGGUAGCAAACGGG
rnacentral:rRNA from 1 species